AUUGAACGCUGGCGGCAGGCCUAACACAUGCAAGUCGAGCGGAUGAAGGGAGCUUGCUCCUGGAUUCAGCGGCGGACGGGUGAGUAAUGCCUAGGAAUCUGCCUGGUAGUGGGGGAUAACGUCCGGAAACGGGCGCUAAUACCGCAUACGUCCUGAGGGAGAAAGUGGGGGAUCUUCGGACCUCACGCUAUCAGAUGAGCCUAGGUCGGAUUAGCUAGUUGGUGGGUAAAGGCCUACCAAGGCGACGAUCCGUAACUGGUCUGAGAGGAUGAUCAGUCACACUGGAACUGAGACACGGUCCAGACUCCUACGGGAGGCAGCAGUGGGGAAUAUUGGACAAUGGGCGAAAGCCUGAUCCAGCCAUGCCGCGUGAGUGAAGAAGGUCUUCGGAUUGUAAAGCACUUUAAGUUGGGAGGAAGGGCAGUAAGUUAAUACCUUGCUGUUUUGACGUUACCAACAGAAUAAGCACCGGCUAACUUCGUG
rnacentral:rRNA from 1 species